rnacentral:ncRNA from 1 species
AUGACAAUUGCGGGAGAGCGCAAAGCAGCAUGCCGCCGAAGGAGCAAGUUUCAAAAAUACCCUUGAAACAAAUCUCUCAGGCAUAGAGGACCGCAAUAGGACG